CCACCCGCGCCGCUCGCCUAUCCUCCGGCCGGCGGCCGUGCACCUCCGAAUCAGCCCCUCCGGCCUUCCCCACCUGAGAGCAGCAGCGUGAGCAGCAGGCAACGCCGCUCCAUCUCCGGCCGCUCCAUCUCCGUCCACCUUCGUCCACCUCCGGUCUCGGCCUUUCCCCCACCCGAAAUCUGUGGACUUGAGCGGAGGCUCUGCUGCAGAGCAGGUUCUCGGCGUGAGCAGAGCAGCGCAAGGCAACGCCAAUCCAUCUCCGGCCGCUCCUCUCCGGCCGCUGCUCGUCCUCUCCGACCGCUCCUCUCCGGCCGCUGCUCAUCCUCUCAUCAGGUAAACCUUCAUUCAGCUUUACUUUUGUUACUUUUGUUACUUUUGUUGUCUAUUCAAAUUUGUGUAUCAAUUCUUGUAUAUCACUAGAUGAUAAGUUGAUGAUGCAUUUGUAUUUAAGAAUAAUAUCUGGAACAUGUGAUGUGGAGUUGUUGUUGCCUAGUGAUGUUUUGUUAGCUAAUCUUUAUUUAGCAAUUGGUGGCAUAUGCUGUGCUCUUGAUUUUGAUGAGAUGAUUCUGCUACUUGUGUUGUGGUUAAUGCAAUGUUAUGUUAUGGUUUAUGAUGUGCAUUAUAUAUUUGAGUUGUGUUUAUCAGUAAGUAUAUUUUGUGGAAAGAACAAUAACAAUAUUAUUGAGCUAAUUAUGUGUGUAACUUGUACAGAAAAUCAUCAUAUAAUGCAGUUGAGAACUUUUGCUUAACUUGAUGGAAUUGACUAUGAAAUAAUUGUGUUCAUUUUUGCUUUAUUGUAGAAAAUGGAAGAACAAUCCAUUAAUUCAAAUAGUGAAACUGUUCAGUCUCAAAUACCAAAUGAUGGGGCAGCCGGCGUGGUUGAAGGCUUUGUUGACCUUGAACGAGAUAACAAUACCACCGAGGUUUCGAAAGAAAAUGAAGCAGAUCCAAUUAGUGGUGUUACUAUAAAAACAAGUAAGAAAGUCACUUCUGAAGCUUGGGACCACUUUGAUAAGAUUGUGGAGAAGGGUGUUACAAAGGCGAAGUGCAAAUAUUGCAAAGCUGUUUUG
rnacentral:lncRNA from 1 species